rnacentral:rRNA from 1 species
UACGUAGGUGGCAAGCGUUGUCCGGAUUUACUGGGUGUAAAGGGCGUGUAGCCGGGAAGGCAAGUCAGAUGUGAAAUCUGGAGGCUCAACCUCCAAACUGCAUUUGAAACUGCUUUUCUUGAGUAUCGGAGAGGUAAUCGGAAUUCCUUGUGUAGCGGUGAAAUGCGUAGAUAUAAGGAAGAACACCAGUGGCGAAGGCGGAUUACUGGACGACAACUGACGGUGAGGCGCGAAAGCGUGGGGAGCAAACAGGAUUAGAUACC